rnacentral:rRNA from 1 species
UACGGAGGGUGCAAGCGUUGUCCGGAUUUAUUGGGUUUAAAGGGUGCGUAGGCGGUCCUUUAAGUCAGUGGUGAAAGCCAACAGCUCAACUGUUGAACUGCCCAUUGAUACUGGAGGACUUGAGUACAGACGAGGUAGGCGGAAUUGACGGUGUAGCGGUGAAAUGCAUAGAUAUCGUCAAGAACACCGAUUGCGAAGGCAGCUUACUAGACUGUAACUGACGCUGAGGCACGAAAGUGUGGGGAUCAAACAGG